CAGGGAGACAACAAAAUGUUUAAUAUUAAUUUUGUCACCUUAGGUCGAUCGGUACCUCACAUUCUUAAAUUUAAUUUAAGGAUUUUAUUUCCUAAGUUUUUUCUAGGUCACACCCAUUAUUUUCCUGGGCCAUUAGCUCAGGUGGUUAGAGCGCACCCCUGAUAAGGGUGAGGUCCCUGGUUCAAGUCCAGGAUGGCCCAUUCGGUGUUGGGGGUUUAGCUCAGUUGGUAGAGCGCCUGCUUUGCAAGCAGGAUGUCAGGAGUUCGAGUCUCCUAACCUCCACUGACCGAACUUGAUUCCCAUCUCCAAUUUUUUGGAGUUGAGCUCGAUUGGCGUGUGAUUUAGAUAUGUCCGCUGGAUGACCCCAGCUUCCUGUCAUUCCAAGUUUUAGAUUUUAAGUCUUGAAUUUGGUUGAUAAGAUGCUGGGCUCGGAUCAAAUGAUCAAGCAAUUGAUGAUUUGAUUUGAAGUUCUAGCAGAACCUUGACAACUGCAUAGGUGAGUCUGGAAAAAACAAAGCAUCUUACAGAUGCAUUGUUUUGAAUCUGAUCUUCUGAAAGGGAGAUUGGAUCCAGAACAAUGAAAAUUCUUUUGAGCAAGAGCCGAGACUCUUGAGCGUUCUUUGAUUGGUGUCGAGCUAAUCAGAGUUUGAUCUUGUUUUUAGCAAUAAAAACUUGAGAAUCUGCUUUCAACGGCGGUAAGCGUUCAGGAGGUUAAUU
rnacentral:tRNA from 1 species